AGCUCUAGACCUAGACUCUAGUCUAGACCGUGUAAGUCUCAUCGCACUAGGGCACCGUGUUGAGAAUUCUAGCUAGACCAACAACUUAUACUAAAUCGGAGGCCGAGUCACACAGUGGCGACAGUGCAGGAUGAGGAUUUAAGAUUUGGCUACACAAUCUUAUAAUCUAAAUCUAGAUCAAAUUGGGCCCCGCUCCCGGCUCUUCCCUGUUAUCAAAUAGGCCUAUUAUAAUAUUUACUUUUUGACUGGCCUCUGUUGCAAGACACAUAAAUCAUAAUUAUUUUCUGUUAUGAAGGAAUACAAUUAAUAAGAUAGAUGAAAGGUGCUAUGAGAGCAUGGAAUGGGUUGUCUGAGUCAGCCAGGAAAACCAAUGACUUGGCAGAAUUUAAGUCAUUGAUUAACAUGGAUGACUUGAUUGACCUAGGAACACACAUAGGGGAUGUUUCCUAAGAAAACAUUAUUUGAACCUGGUGUAGACUCUGCACAAGUUUCUAUCCUCAUAGGACCAGCUUCUCCUUAACUGCUCUUAAGAAUUCCUACUCUUCAAAUACUUACAGCAAUGGAAAAAAAACUAUUUUAAGACAAUACCAGUGAAGUGGUCAGUUGUCUGAUUAAGUCAGUGUGCAUUUGGUCACAAAGAAAGUGAGUAGGCCCAGGUCUGCAAGGGAGAAUUGUCAGACACUCUUUGUGCCUCAUCAGAAACAUCAAUCCAAGAUAGCCUUCUUUUUGUUUUCGAGAAGGCCUUGGGUCAAGUUAGUCAGACACAGUAAAGGACCAGCAGAAUUAAGAUAAGACAGAGAUUCAAGUAAAAGUUGUGUAUAGCUGUUUUAGUCAGACAUUGACUACUGCCUGUUGUAAAGUAUUUAUUUGAUUGCUCAUUUCAUACACUGAUUAAAGUGCCUCAAUAUUCA